rnacentral:rRNA from 1 species
CCUACGGGUGGCAGCAGUCGAGAAUCAUUCACAAUGGGGGAAACCCUGAUGGUGCGACGCCGAGUGGGGGAAUGAAGUUCUUCGGAUUGUAAACCCCUGUCAUGUGGGAGCAAAUUAAAAAGAUAGUACCACAAGAGGAAGAGACGGCUAACUCUGUGCCAGCAGCCGCGGUAAUACAGAGGUCUCAAGCGUUGUUCGGAAUCACUGGGCGUAAAGCGUGCGUAGGCUGUUUCGUAAGUCGUGUGUGAAAGGCGCGGGCUCAACCCGCGGACGGCACAUGAUACUGCGAGACUAGAGUAAGGGAGGGGGAACCGGAAUUCUCGGUGUAGCAGUGAAAUGCGUAGAUAUCGAGAGGAACACUCGUGGCGAAGGCGGGUUCCUGGACAUUAACUGACGCUGAGGCACGAAGGCCAGGGGAGCGAAAGGGAUUAGAUACCCUAGUAGUC